rnacentral:lncRNA from 1 species
CAGCAGUAAGGGAGAGCUGAGCUCACCACUCAAACUUGGUUGAAGGCUACCAACCUCCUACCAUAAGCAAGCCAACUUGCUGGGUCGAAGAGCUGAGCUUACUCAUCAAGGGGCUCACGAAGGGGCCCAACGAAAGGUCCUUACUUAAAUAAGCAAGUGAAUUCUACUGAACUGAGCUACUCAAGGUAUUACGUUUCUUUUAGUAUUAGUACAAAGUCCGUGUUACUUUAAUAGUAGACCGCCCGGCUCCUGUUGGUCUAACUAUUACACCGAAAUGGAACUACCAAUGAUGGGGAAUCCAGGGGCUUGGUUGUCCUCUAAGUCCAUUGUAAGAGAUAGGAGCGCCUAUGAUGAUCCUAGGUGGUUACUAUGAUUCUUUACAGCUCCUGUAGGUUAGUUACUAUGGCCAUGCACGGAACUGAACAUGACUCGUAGCGAUGAAGAAAGCCGCCCAGUUGAACGUUAUACCUAACUUCUAUGGGGACUCCUUUUGGCCCUCCCUUAGAAAGGGACUGACUCCAACGAGUUGGUCGCCAAUCUUUGACCUUGCCGAACGAAAUCGUAACUUCUUGGUCAGUUAGCAGUGGGCCAUCAUAGGUGCAUGCAAUAGGAUCCGAC